rnacentral:rRNA from 1 species
AGGUAGUGACAAGAAAUAACAAUACGGGGCUUAAAGUCUUGUAAUUGGAAUGAUGGGAAUUUAAACCUCUUCCAGAGUAUCAAUUGGAGGGCAAGUCUGGUGCCAGCAGCCGCGGUAAUUCCAGCUCCAAUAGCGUAUAUUAAAAUUGUUGCAGUUAAAAAGCUCGUAGUUGAAUUUCUGCUGCAUUGCUUGUGUCCCUCUGGGGUCUGUGCAUGUGGCUUUUUUCGGACGGAGUUUCUUUGUCUGAAUGUUUACUUUGAGAAAAUUAGAGUGCUCAAAGCAGGCUUUCGCCUUGAAUAGUUUAGCAUGGAAUAAUAAAGUAGGACUUUGGUUCUAUUUUGUUGGUUUUAGGUACCAAAGUAAUGGUUAAUAGGAACAGUUGGGGGCAUUCGUAUUUAACUGUCAGAGGUGAAAUUCUUAGAUUUGUUAAAGACGAACUACUGCGAAAGCAUUUGCCAAGGAUGUUUUCAUUAAUCAAGAACGAAAGUUAGGGGAUCGAAGACGAUCAGAUACCGUCGUAGUCCUAACCAUAAACUAUGCCGACUAGAGAUUGGAGGUCGUCAGUUUUUACGACUCCUUCAGCACCUUGAGAGAAAUCAAAGUCUUUGGGUUCUGGGGGG